rnacentral:rRNA from 1 species
GAUUAACGCUGGCGGCGUGCCUAACACAUGCAAGUCGAGCGGCAGCGAGUUUUACACUGAAUUCUGGAAGCUUCUAGUUGAAAGAGAAGAUUUAUUCAAGAAUUUUGUGUAAAAUGUCGGCGAGCGGCGGACGGCUGAGUAACGCGUGGGAACGUACCCCAAAGUGAGGGAUAACGCAUCGAAAGGUGUGCUAAUACCGCAUAUGGUCUUCGGAUUAAAGCCUUCGGGCGCUUUGGGAACGGCCUGCGUAAGAUUAGAUGGUUGGUGGGGUAAUGGCCUACCAAGUCGACGAUCUUUAACUGGUUUGAGAGGAUGAUCAGUCAGACUGGAACUGAGACACGGUCCAGACUCCUACGGGAGGCAGCAGUGAGGAAUCUUCCACAAUGGGCGGAAGCCUGAUGGAGCAACGCCGCGUGCAGGAUGAAGGCCUUCGGGUUGUAAACUGCUUCUAUAAGUGAGGAUUAUGACAGUAACUUAUGAAUAAGGAUCGGCUAACUACGUG